rnacentral:rRNA from 1 species
UACGUAGGGUGCGAGCGUUGUCCGGAAUUAUUGGGCGUAAAGGGCUCGUAGGCGGUUUGUCGCGUCGGGAGUGAAAACCUCGGGCUUAACUCGGGGCUUGCUUUCGAUACGGGCAGACUGGAGGUAUGCAGGGGAGAACGGAAUUCCUGGUGUAGCGGUGAAAUGCGUAGAUAUCAGGAGGAACACCGGUGGCGAAGGCGGCUACCUGGACAGAAACUGACGCUGAGGCGCGAAAGCUAGGGGAGCAAACAGG